rnacentral:rRNA from 1 species
GAUGAACGCUGGCGGCGUGCUUAACACAUGCAAGUCGAACGGAAAGGCCCGAGCUUGCUUGGGUACUCGAGUGGCGAACGGGUGAGUAACACGUGGGUGAUCUGCCCUGCACUUCGGGAUAAGCCUGGGAAACUGGGUCUAAUACCGGAUAGGACGAUGGUUUGGAUGCCAUUGUGGAAAGUUUUUUCGGUGUGGGAUGAGCUCGCGGCCUAUCAGCUUGUUGGUGGGGUAAUGGCCUACCAAGGCGUCGACGGGUAGCCGGCCUGAGAGGGUGUACGGCCACAUUGGGACUGAGAUACGGCCCAGACUCCUACGGGAGGCAGCAGUGGGGAAUAUUGCACAAUGGGCGCAAGCCUGAUGCAGCGACGCCGCGUGGGGGAUGACGGCCUUCGGGUUGUAAACUCCUUUCGCUAGGGACGAAGCGUUUUUGUGACGGUACCUGGAGAAGAAGCACCGGCUAACUACGUG